rnacentral:lncRNA from 1 species
CCUGGAGGCAGCACAGGAAGGGGAGAGCCAUCAGAUCUGCCUGAUGAGCCUGGGGCGAACCUCCCACGGGAACCCCCAACGGCACCCCAGAACAGAUUGGAGGUAACACUGCAGCGGGGGCUGCACCCUGCACACCCUGCCCCAUACCCAGCUGCGUGUGCUGCCUGGGAAGAAGGUGACACCACGAGAUGGGACUGCAUUUCCUUUUAAUUGAUCAGAGCCGCUUCUCCGCCUCCGUUUGUCCCACACCAUCUGUACAAACGGGGAAGCCAGAACAAGGAGGACAGUCUGGGGUUUUUCUAGAGCGUCAGUGGGAUUCCUGCAACACACACAGAGGCGGAGUCGGUUUGAAUGAAUGCGGGGUGGGCUCAGCAGAGCAAUGGAUCCCGAUCUGAGGGCUCAGCCUCGCUGCGAGGAAACGAGAGCCAUUGGGUGCCCCCUCAGACCUGUCCUGAAGGGCCAAAGGUCAGCGAGACCAGAGAUGAGGAGAUAGCGCUGCCCUGCUGUAGCUGCUCCGGGGAGAGGCCAGCAGAGCUGCAGUGACUCACCUGCCAGGCACAGCACAGCGAGCCUUCCCAGCUGCCAGCACGUGGGAAGGAAAGGGGUGAGGCACAGCCUCAGCAGGGCACAGGGAAAAUGGGCCACGAGGUAAGCAGCCUCGCCUCACCUCCCCCGAGACAGAAGCUGUUUGUUUGCAGUGGAAGGGAGUGUACACGGAGCAGAGGCUGCACUGCUCCCUGCGGGGCCCCAGGAACACAGCCUGCCGCAUGGCCAGCCCGGGGCUGCCCGUCCCAGCGGGGCCCCACUCGUGACCGUGGGCUGUGCCCGGCCCGGCCCCGGGGUUGCUAAUGCUGCGGCUGCCACCUAGCGGCUCCGGGACGGCCCCGUGCUCCCCGGUUGGGAGACAGCCAUGCUUACCUCCGUUACUCCAAGGCUUUGACGAGGGCCUCGUUGGCUUCCACUUUAAUCUGGGCUUCGGCCCUAGCAGCUUCGUCGGAGGCUGCAGCCAUCUCUGAAACGGCCUUCUCCAGGUUUGAUUUUGCAGUAGCCAGAUCCAGCAUGUCCAUCGUCACCGCCUCCUCCGCCAGCACCUGCACUGUGGAGUCUGCAUUGACCGUGACGGAGCCGCUGCUCACGAAGUAUUUGGUGGCCGUGCCGUCCUCGGCGUACACCGUCACCACGCCCGGCUUCAGGACCUGCAGCGUGGGGACGUGGGAGGCCAGGAUGCCGAAGGAGCCGGUCAGGGUGGGCACGUCCACCUGCUUCACGGUGGUACCGUUGUAGAACACCUGCGUGGGAGAGGCGAAGGUGAAGGCCAUGGCCGCGGGCCCGGCCGCAGCAUCGGCGUAGGAGCGGGCGCGGGGCGGCGGCAGCGCCGCGAGGCGGAGGAGUUGGCGGGCGCGGAUCAUGGCGGCGGCGGCGGCGGCGGCGGCGGCGGCGGCGAAGGGCGAGCGGACGGCGCGGGGCGGGCGGCGGGACUGCAGC